rnacentral:rRNA from 1 species
UACAGAGGUUGCAAGCGUUGUUCGGAAUUACUGGGCGUAAAGGGCGCGUAGGCGGUCUUGCAAGUCCCGUGUGAAAUCCCUCGGCUCAACUGAGGAACUGCACGGGAAACUGUUUGGCUUGAGUUCGGGAGAGGGAAGCGGAAUUCCGGGUGUAGCGGUGAAAUGCGUAGAUAUCCGGAGGAACACCGGUGGCGAAGGCGGCUUCCUGGACCGACACUGACGCUGAGGCGCGAAAGCUAGGGGAGCAAACGGG